UGAUAGUGGAGUUCAGAUACCACUUUAAUAAACGGGGCGCAAUCCGAAAAGCCUUAUGAGUAAGAAAAUUU
rnacentral:ncRNA from 1 species